AUCAAGGUCAUCCUAAUUGUAAGAUCCGUUUGGUUGUCCAGCUACGUUCAGUGAAGGCCUGUGGGAGAGAAGUUCCAGAAGUGUUAACAUGAUGGAGUCAUAUUCUGAGCAUCACUGCUGUCUGUCACAGAGCUGGCCUUGAACAUAAAGUGGUACAACAGAGGGCAUGUAACAGUAUGGUAUGAAUGACAGCUACAGCAGCUUUUGCUGAGCUACGUGGUAUAAUGAACAGAUGCUGUUUGUGCCGAGCUGUUCUACCUCUUCCCCCAGUGCUGCCGCAGCUUACCUUGGAGUUUGAAUUGUUUAUUACUGUUUUGAAAUAAGGAAUGGGCUCACUGGUUUAGUAGCAAUUCUCUAAAACCAAACAAAUGCAUUGAAGUGUACAUUUUACUGUCCGCAAUACAUUGUGCUAAGUUGACAAAUACCACAUAAUGUAAAAGAACUAUAUAAAUUUCAGAAGGAGCAGAAAUUAGCAGUGAGUCUGGCAAACAGAAUUACCUUCCUGGACAGUAAGAACUGUAGAAAUGUGUUAACGUUAGUUCUUCGGCUAAUGUUUUUUGAUUGUUAAUGUUCGCACAAAGUAGCACAAAAAAUACAUAUAAUUAGGAAAGUGUUUCCUGCCCUCAUGCCUCUUCUGUGCAUAAGCUGCAUCAAUGGCAACAUCACUAGUAAAGUAAACUACUUGCAUUUAUUGGAAUAUGAAAUAAAAAAAUAAAGAGUUAUGAUUU